GACGAACGCUGGCGGCGUGCCUAAUACAUGCAAGUAGAACGCUGAAGCUUGGUGCUUGCACCGAGCGGAUGAGUUGCGAACGGGUGAGUAACGCGUAGGUAACCUGCCUGGUAGCGGGGGAUAACUAUUGGAAACGAUAGCUAAUACCGCAUAAGAGUAGAUGUUGCAUGACAUUUGCUUAAAAGGUGCAAUUGCAUCACUACCAGAUGGACCUGCGUUGUAUUAGCUAGUUGGUGAGGUAACGGCUCACCAAGGCAACGAUACAUAGCCGACCUGAGUGGGUGAUCGGCCACACUGGGACUGAGACACGGCCCAGACUCCUACGGGAGGCAGCAGUAGGGAAUCUUCGGCAAUGGACGGAAGUCUGACCGAGCAACGCCGCGUGAGUGAAGAAGGUUGUCGGAUCGUAAAGCUCUGUUGUAAGAGAAGAACGAGUGUGAGAGUGGAAAGUUCACACUGUGACGGUAUCUUACCAGAAAGGGACGGCUAACUACGUG
rnacentral:rRNA from 1 species